rnacentral:rRNA from 1 species
AUGGAUUUGGGUACAUUUGGUAGCAAAGUUCAAAGAGAGUUCAAACUGCUACCAUACAAGAUGAAAUUGGGAAGGGCCAGGAAGGCAACUCUCAACAUUAUUCAUGGGGAUGAAGCAGAGCAAUACAACAUGUUGUGGGACUAUGGGCAAGAACUCAAAAGAGCUAAUCCUGGCAACAAAUUCAUAGUUUCCACUACCAAGGCUAAGGAGAAGGAUGAUGCAUUGCCAAAGGAUCACCUCUCCUCACUCUAUUGGUCAUAUGAUGCUUGCAAGAGAGCUCUCCUAAAGGGCUGCAUGCCAAUUAUAUUUGUGGAUGGCCGCCACUUGAAAAGUAGGUACAAAGGUAUAUUGUUGAUAGCUGUGGGAAUUGACCCAAUGAUUGCAUUUAUCCAAUAG